rnacentral:antisense_RNA from 1 species
UGUGAGCGCUGGCUUGCCUGCGAUGACGGUGAGUCACCCAACCUUCUGGGUGACUGAUACACCGCUAUCGCAGGCAAGCCAGCGCCCACU